rnacentral:misc_RNA from 1 species
AAAACGACAAAUUACACCGGCGUUGCAGGUAUUUCAGGAAGACUGGGAUAAAAAAAAAGGUAGACUUAUUUAACGGGUCCCAGUCAUCCGGUCAGGAGGUUUGCCUGACAGUCAAAGCCCUGGACUGUCGGAGAACCUGACGUAGAACUGCAUCUUGCCGUGGCACAGUGCCCGUUUGUUUCGCUGACGGUCACACCUUAAAAAAUAAGGUAUUUGGUGUCUCUGAAUUAUCACACCGCUUCCAACUUGACGCUCUGUUCGAGUAUAUAGUGAAGGCUUGAUUAUUGCUGUCAGGUAUGCAAAGACAAGUCGAACCAUUCUGAG